rnacentral:lncRNA from 1 species
AAUCACCACCGGUGGUUUGUAUACUGGUACCGGCGGAGGACACGGCUUCUUCGGGAUCACUACCGGUGGAAUGUAGAUUGGUGGAUGCUCUAUCUUCGGCGGCGGCUUGUAAACCGGAACUGGAGGUGGGUGCUCUAUCUUCGGCGGUGGAAUGACUAUCUUUGGCGGCGGCUUGUGGACUGGAACCGGCGGUGGAUCAACUUUCUUCGGCGGUUUAGGCGGACAAGGCUUCUUCGUUGGUGGUUUGUAGACUGGCACCGGCGGUGGAAGCUCCACCUUCGGCGGCUUAGGCGGACAUGGCUUCUUCGGUGGCUUGUGUACCGGAACUGGAGGUGGGUGCUCUAUCUUUGGCGGUGGCUUGUAAACCGGAACCGAAGGUGGGUGCUCUAUCUUUGGCGGUGGCUUGUAAACCGGAACCGAAGGUGGGUGCUCUAUCUUUGGCGGUGGCUUGUAAACCGGAACUGGAGGUGGGUGCUCUAUCUUUGGCGGUGGCUUGUAAACCGGAACCGGAGGUGGGUGCUCUAUCUUCGGCGGUUUAGGUGGACAAGGCUUCUUAGGAAUAGGCGGUGGAAGCUCCACCUUUGGUGAUGGCUCGUAAAUCGGGACAGGUGGGGGAACCUCUUUCUUUGGCGGUGGAUCGUAAACCGGAACCGGAGGCGGAACCUCUUUCUUUGGCGGUGGCUCGUAAACCGGAACCGGAGGUGGAACCUCCACAGGAGGGCUGAAUUUAGGUGGACAUGGCUUCUUGAGAAACGGUGGAAGUUCCAAAGGUGGAGGUAAAGGGAACGGAUGAUCAAAGCCCUUAAAAGGUGGCAACUUAGGCAUAUGCCAGAAGAAUUUCGAAACACAAAUUUCGGGUGAAAAUUUCAGAUUUUGUUUGAGACCC